UACGAAGGGGGCUAGCGUUGUUCGGAAUUACUGGGCGUAAAGCGCACGUAGGCGGAUAUUUAAGUCAGGGGGUGAAAUCCCCAGAGCUCAACUCUGGAACUGCCUUUGAUACUGGGUAUCUUGAGUAUGGAAGAGGUGAGUGGAAUUCCGAGUGUAGAGGUGAAAUUCGUAGAUAUUCGGAGGAACACCAGUGGCGAAGGCGGCUCACUGGUCCAUUACUGACGCUGAGGUGCGAAAGCGUGGGGAGCAAACAGG
rnacentral:rRNA from 1 species